AUUCAAGAUGGACUCGAGGGGAAUGCCUCAAGACCUAAGGUUGAGGAGGACCAGGAACAAGAAACUCCAGCAAGAACUGUGGUGGAGUUCAUUCGGCUGUGCUAAUUUCAUGAAUAGAUGCACACAGAGAACAGCGUUCUUGUAUUAGGACCAAACAUAUCAUUGGAGGAAGCAAUACUCUCCCUUCCAGUCCUAGGAUCUUAUGAAUAUUUUGAAACAG